AAGACAUCGCUGGCACCGU
rnacentral:misc_RNA from 1 species